rnacentral:rRNA from 1 species
CCUACGGGAGACAGCAGUGGGGAAUAUUGGGCAAUGGGCGCAAGCCUGACCCAGCAACGCCGCGUGAAGGAAGAAGGCUUUCGGGUUGUAAACUUCUUUUGUCAGGGACGAAGCAAGUGACGGUACCUGACGAAUAAGCCACGGCUAACUACGUGCCAGCAGCCGCGGUAAUCCGUAGGUGGCAAGCGUUAUCCGGAUUUACUGGGUGUAAAGGGCGCGUAGGCGGGACUGCAAGUCAGAUGUGAAAACCACGGGCUCAACCUGUGGCCUGCAUUUGAAACUGUAGUUCUUGAGUGCAGGGGAGGCAGACGGAAUGCCUAGUGUAGCGGUGAAAUGCGUAGAUAUUA